rnacentral:lncRNA from 1 species
CGUUUUCAUGAAUUAAAAAAAUUAAAAAGGUAAAAUUAUAAUUUUUAUAGUAUUAAAUUUCCUAAAAUUAUCUCUAAUUUGUGAAACCAAUGUUAUACCUGUCCAUAAAUUAAUGUUGUCAUAUUUUAAUUAUUAAAAUAUCAAUACAGCACAAUUACAACACCAAAGGAAUCAUAAUGAAAACAAUAUUAAUUAAUUUGUUAAGGAAAACAUCAGCAUAAUCUAUUAAAUUAAUAAAUAAAAAAUCAAACCCAAACAAAUUCAUGUGACCUCUCAUCUUCUCCCCCAAACAAUCUCUCAGCUACGAAUCACUUUUGGGCAAAACUCCAAACAUUUUUUCAGAAAUAAAUACAAAUAGAUCUGUGAGUCUGUGACGAUACAAUUCGGAAUUCCCCUUAUUUUCACCAGAUCUGCAGAAAAAACAUAAUAGAUUAAGCGAUAAACUCAAUUCAAAAACCCAAAAUCAGAAUAAAUUAGCAAAACUAAAUGGUCGGUUUACAAACAAGCAUGUAAACAAAAAUUGGAAUUUGGGUAGUGAUAAAAUUACAGUUUCUGAGAAUGAAACUUGUGGUAAUCUUGUUUUAUUCGGAAAAUUUCGAAAUUACAAAAAGGAACUUUUUUCACUUUCUUGUUGAGGAAAAACUAUGAACAGGAGAAUUAGGAGAGAUAAAACUUACCAAAACUGGUCUAGAGUCAACGUCAUAACCAGAGAGGGAGGAAAAAAUAGAUCCGAAAUUUGUAGAUAUAGAUCUGAUAUAUAUAAUUGAUUUUUAGCAAUGGAUAUAUUUGCUCCUUCCUCCCUCAUCAUCUUCACUUUCUCUCUCAUCGCCGUCUCUACUGAAAUAAAAGUCGUCGAUGAGUUGUUGGAAUUCUUUGUUUAGAGAGAUUGAUGGUGAUGGUGAUGGUGGUGGUGGUGGUGGUGGUGGUAGUAGUAGUGAGGGAGAAGUCUGGGUUCGAAGAGGGAGAAAGAAUAAUAAGAAUAAGUAGAAAAAGAAGAAGAG